CCAAAAUACAAACGUCAGUAAUCUUGCUAGCAGAAGGCUGCACAGCUGCUUCCUUAGAUCCCUAUGGACAAAUUAAACAAUUCGUGGAUCGUUUUACACCCCUGUCGAAGUUAUACGAAGAUCGCAAGUACUUCAUUGAAUCCUAUUUGUUAAAUUAUGAAGAAGUGAUUUGUUCAUUUAGUUGCGUUUACCUGCGUGGCAACAAAGUAAUGGUGCGGGUUCGAGUCCUCCAGCAUGGACAGCAGGCACUCUGAGGCGGGGACGGGGUCCUUGAAGUGAGCACAUUUCCUCAGCUGGAACCUCUGCAGUAUAAUUUUAGCUCCGUAAAGCUCCUUUCCUAGAGAGUCGAGUUCCUUCAGGGCGCAGCUGCGAGUGAAACCGAAUAAAAACGGAUCAAGAACAGGACCCUGAACACAACACGAGAGCGUUCAAUCAUCUACUUACUUUGUGGUACACAGCUGCACCUCACCCAUGAGAUAUUUCGGCAUUUGCUCUUUAAUUUGAAUUUUAUUCUUCAACGCCGCCUGACAAAAAGUCCCAUCGAUGAGAAUCUGAAAAGGUUCCCUGAAAUUGAAGUUAUAUUUGUAGAAGCUAAUCGUUUUCUUGGCUUGUUUCUGUCGUUUGAUCUUCAUGCUCCGUUUU